ensembl:lncRNA
UUGAUUGUGUGGCAGAGGACACCUGUACCUUCUCUUUGAAGGGGAAAAGGUGCCUCCUCCUCCUCCACAGAUGCCUCCGUCCUCCUCCACCAUCUGCCCGCCGACACCAGACGCCAGAGGGGAGCGGCAGCGAGCAGAGAUGAGAGGACGAUGACUUCAUUUCACGCCAGAAUCCAGCUUUCACUGACAUCACACGGCUGACAUUGAUGUGUACUUCAGACAACAUUUGACAGGGCGAGAGACGAUCUCCUCAGUUCUAACACCGCUGGAUGAGAGAUGAGCCGCGAUCGUCCCCGGCUGGGACGAUCUUCCUGGACGGCGCGACGUUUUGGACCCAUCUGGCCCCGAGCCCGUCCCCUGCCAGACGUCCCGUUAAUGAAAUGGCAGCAGCCCAAUGCUCCGUAUCUGUCAUCAGCAAUCUGCAUCUGCUCAGGGACUCAACGGAAAUGAGGAAGAGGGAUGAACACGGAGGAAGGCAGAGAGACUCUGUGUCCCCCGAGCAGGUGCCAUGUUUGUGUGCGUGUGCGUGUCAGGGUGAAUGCGUGUGUGUGUGUGUGUGUGUGUGUGCGUGUGUGGUGGCUCCGUCCCUGUUUUUAGCACAGCGUGAAAUCUAAGUUAUAGAUUUCUUUUUUUGAGAGGAGAAAGUAGCCACAGCGGGCCGCCUCAUCUUUCAUCUCCACUGGAUCAAAUAGGUGAGGAUAUUUCAUCGGUUCUGCGUUACAACAAGGCUCCAAUGCAUCUUAUCUGUCAGGGGGAAAAUGGCUCGCUGUACCUCGUCUGGGCCCCCGGGGGCCACAUGGGGUCGACACAUUUUUCAACUUCAACAAAUUUAGACUCCACCCGAACAACCCUAACAAAUAUGUGCUGGAAACACCAUCAUUCAACAACAGCUUCAUUGUCCUAAACUUUGAGAUUUUAUUGUGCCGAUGGC